rnacentral:rRNA from 1 species
GGUUAAGCGACUAAGCGUACACGGUGGAUGCCCUGGCAGUCAGAGGCGAUGAAGGACGUGCUAAUCUGCGAUAAGCGUCGGUGAGGUGAUAUGAACCGUUAUAACCGGCGAUUUCCGAAUGGGGAAACCCAGUGUGUUUCGACACACUAUCAUUAACUGAAUCCAUAGGUUAAUGAGGCGAACCGGGGGAACUGAAACAUCUAAGUACCCCGAGGAAAAGAAAUCAACCGAGAUUCCCCCAGUAGCGGCGAGGGAGCCCAGAGCCUGAAUCMGUGGUUAGUGGAMGCGUCUGGAMAGGCGCGCGAUACAGGGUGACAGCCCCGUACACAAAAAUGCACAUAUUGUGAGCUCGAUGAGUAGGGCGGGACACGUGGUAUCCUGUCUGACGGCGAGGGGAGUGAAAAAGAACCUGAAACCGUGUACGUACAAGCAGUGGGAGCCUCUUAAUGGGGUGACUGCGUACCUUUUGUAUAAUGGGUCAGCGACUUAUAUUCUGUAGCAAGGUUAACCGAAUAGGGGAGCCGAAGGGAAACCGAGUCUUAACUGGGCGUUAAGUUGCAGGGUAUAGACCCGAAACCCGGUGAUCUAGCCAUGGGCAGGUUGAAGGUUGGGUAACACUAACUGGAGGACCGAACCGACUAAUGUUGAAAAAUUAGCGGAUGACUUGUGGCUGGGGGGGUAGAGCACUGUUUCGGCAAGGGGGUCAUCCCGACUUACCAACCCGAUGCAAACUGCGAAUACCGGAGAAUGUUAUCACGGGAGACACACGGCGGGUGCUAACGUCCGUCGUGAAGAGGGAAACAACCCAGACCGCCAGCUAAGGUCCCAAAGUCAUGGUUAAGUGGGAAACGAUGUGGGAAGGCCCAGACAGCCAGGAUGUUGGCUUAGAAGCAGCCAUCAUUUAAAGAAAGCGUAAUAGCUCACUGGUCGAGUCGGCCUGCGCGGAAGAUGUAACGGGGCUAAACCAUGCACCGAAGCUGCGGCAGCGACGCUUAUGCGUUGUUGGGUAGGGGAGCGUUCUGUAAGCCUGUGAAGGUGGCCUGUGAGGGUUGCUGGAGGUAUCAGAAGUGCGAAUGCUGACAUAAGUAACGAUAAAGCGGGUGAAAAGCCCGCUCGCCGGAAGACCAAGGGUUCCUGUCCAACGUUAAUCGGGGCAGGGUGAGUCGACCCCUAAGGCGAGGCCGAAAGGCGUAGUCGAUGGGAAACAGGUUAAUAUUCCUGUACUUGGUGUUACUGCGAAGGGGGGACGGAGAAGGCUAUGUUGGCCGGGCGACGGUUGUCCCGGUUUAAGCGUGUAGGCUGGUUUUCCAGGCAAAUCCGGAAAACCAAGGCUGAGGCGUGAUGACGAGGCACUACGGUGCUGAAGCGACAAAUGCCCUGCUUCCAGGAAAAGCCUCUAAGCAUCAGGUAACAUCAAAUCGUACCCCAAACCGACACAGGUGGUCAGGUAGAGAAUACCAAGGCGCUUGAGAGAACUCGGGUGAAGGAACUAGGCAAAAUGGUGCCGUAACUUCGGGAGAAGGCACGCUGAUAUGUAGGUGAAGCGACUAGCUCGUGGAGCUGAAAUCAGUCGAAGAUACCAGCUGGCUGCAACUGUUUAUUAAAAACACAGCACUGUGCAAACACGAAAGUGGACGUAUACGGUGUGACGCCUGCCCGGUGCCGGAAGGUUAAUUGAUGGGGUUAGCGGUAACGCGAAGCUCUUGAUCGAAGCCCCGGUAAACGGCGGCCGUAACUAUAACGGUCCUAAGGUAGCGAAAUUCCUUGUCGGGUAAGUUCCGACCUGCACGAAUGGCGUAAUGAUGGCCAGGCUGUCUCCACCCGAGACUCAGUGAAAUUGAACUCGCUGUGAAGAUGCAGUGUACCCGCGGCAAGACGGAAAGACCCCGUGAACCUUUACUAUAGCUUGACACUGAACAUUGAGCCUUGAUGUGUAGGAUAGGUGGGAGGCUUUGAAGUGUGGACGCCAGUCUGCAUGGAGCCGACCUUGAAAUACCACCCUUUAAUGUUUGAUGUUCUAACGUGGGCAAUCGGGGUUGCGGACAGUGUCUGGUGGGUAGUUUGACUGGGGCGGUCUCCUCCUAAAGAGUAACGGAGGAGCACGAAGGUUGGCUAAUCCUGGUCGGACAUCAGGAGGUUAGUGCAAUGGCAUAAGCCAGCUUGACUGCGAGCGUGACGGCGCGAGCAGGUGCGAAAGCAGGUCAUAGUGAUCCGGUGGUUCUGAAUGGAAGGGCCAUCGCUCAACGGAUAAAAGGUACUCCGGGGAUAACAGGCUGAUACCGCCCAAGAGUUCAUAUCGACGGCGGUGUUUGGCACCUCGAUGUCGGCUCAUCACAUCCUGGGGCUGAAGUAGGUCCCAAGGGUAUGGCUGUUCGCCAUUUAAAGUGGUACGCGAGCUGGGUUUAGAACGUCGUGAGACAGUUCGGUCCCUAUCUGCCGUGGGCGCUGGAGAACUGAGGGGGCUGCUCCUAGUACGAGAGGACCGGAGUGGACGCAUCACUGGUGUUCGGGUUGUCAUGCCAAUGGCACUGCCCGGUAGCUAAAUGCGGAAGAGAUAAGUGCUGAAAGCAUCUAAGCACGAAACUUGCCCCGAGAUGAGUUCUCCCUGAGACUUAGAGUCUCCUGAAGGAACGUUGAAGACGACGACGUUGAUAGGCCGGGUGUGUAAGCGCAGCGAUGCGUUGAGCUAACCGGUACUAAUGAACCGUGAGGCUUAACCUU